rnacentral:lncRNA from 1 species
GUGUUGCUUGACAUCCACCAGGAUGGGAGCCUGGAGAUGCCUCUCACCAUGGAUAACGUUAAAGCCAUCAUCUUGGUGAGUGAGACCUCAUCUCUAGCUUCCUUAUUUUAAAAUAAGAUUAAAGUUUAUUUUCACAAAUUUAGAAAAAAAUAUAUCCAUAUGAAUCAAAAAGUAAAAUAUAUAAGAAAAUAAAAAAAAAUCCAACGUAGCAGUCUGCAACGCAGUUUCUGUAUAAUUAGCCAUUAGGUCUAUUUUAUUUCUGAUUUUAUUUUUAUUUGAUCGAGCUUCUACUAGCUCCAGUCAUUCCUUGUUUUUGGAGUGCUCGAACAAAUCAAUACAUAUAGUUUAUUUGCUAGUGAGAUCUGUAAAAUUGGUCUAUUUUAU